GACUUACCUCUUAUGGGUGAAGAAAGAAAAAUAAGAAUUUUGAAUUCGUCGAACAUCCUAGCCGGAACUAAACUAUGAGGAAUAUUUAGAAGUGCAAUGAAAGACAGUGUGAGAAUAUGUAUGCAAAGGAAUAAAUAAAGCCUACAGAAAAAUCUUUGGCAAUAAAUGAUGACAAAUUUAAGAUAGAUAUUCUUUUUUUUCCCUCUAAUAAGCUACUACGCUCCGUCCUACGAAGAGGUAGCUGCCAAAAACCACCACUGGGGAGGUCGGUACAUGCUUUGCUUUAUGAACUAAAAUUGAACUCGCAUUU